AUUGAACGCUGGCGGCAGGCCUAACACAUGCAAGUCGAACGGCAGCACAGAAGAGCUUGCUCUUUGGGUGGCGAGUGGCGGACGGGUGAGUAAUGUCUGGGAAACUGCCCGAUGGAGGGGGAUAACUACUGGAAACGGUAGCUACUACCGCAUAACGUCGCGAGACCAAAGUGGGGGACCUUCGGGGCUCACACCAUCGGAUGUGCCCAGAUGGGAUUAGCUAGUAGGUGGGGUAAUGGCUCACCUAGGCGACGAUCCCUAGCUGGUCUGAGAGGAUGACCAGCCACACUGGAACUGAGACACGGUCCAGACUCCUACGGGAGGCAGCAGUGGGGAAUAUUGCACAAUGGGCGCAAGCCUGAUGCAGCCAUGCCGCGUGUAUGAAGAAGGCCUUCGGGUUGUAAAGUACUUUCAGCGGGGAGGAAGGCGGUGAGGUUAAUAACCUCGCCGAUUGACGUUACCCGCAGAAGAAGCACCGGCUAACUCCGUGCCAGCCGCCGCCGUAA
rnacentral:rRNA from 1 species